rnacentral:rRNA from 1 species
GAUGAACGCUAGCGGCAGGCUUAAUACAUGCAAGUCGUGGGGCAGCAGGUCUGUAGCAAUACAGAUGCUGGCGACCGGCAAACGGGUGCGUAACACGUACGCAACCUUCCCGUUACUGGGGAAUAGCCCAGGGAAACUUGGAUUAAUACCCCAUAUUAUAUUGGUUAGGCAUCUGACUGAUAUCAAAGCUUCGGCGGUAACGGAUGGGCGUGCGGUUGAUUAGGUAGUUGGCGGGGUAACGGCCCACCAAGCCUACGAUCAAUAGCUGAUGUGAGAGAAUGAUCAGCCACACUGGCACUGGGACACGGGCCCGACUCCUACGGGAGGCAGCAGUAAGGAAUAUUGGGCAAUGGACGAAAGUCUGACCCAGCCAUGCCGCGUGAAGGAUGAAGGUCCUCUGGAUUGUAAACUUCUUUUAUCUGGGGCGAAAAUCGGUUAUUCUUAGCCGCUUGACAGUACCAGAUGAAUAAGCACCGGCUAACUCCGUGCCAGCCGCCGCCGUAACA